rnacentral:rRNA from 1 species
CAGUCCGCGGGAAUACGAAGGGGGCUAGCGUUGUUCGGAAUCACUGGGCGUAAAGGGUGCGUAGGCGGAUUCUUAAGUCAGGGGUGAAAUCCCGAGGCUCAACCUCGGAACUGCCUUUGAUACUGGGGAUCUUGAGUCCGGAAGAGGUGAGUGGAACUGCGAGUGUAGAGGUGAAAUUCGUAGAUAUUCGCAAGAACACCGGUGGCGAAGGCGGCUCACUGGUCCGGAACUGACGCUGAGGCACGACAGCGUGGGGAGCAAACAGGAUUAGAUACCCCAGUAGUCCCUGUCUCUUAUACAC